UUUGUUUUCCUUUAUUUUCAGUUUUCCUUUCUUUUCUAUGGGUGUCAUCUCCUUGUAAUUGAGAUUCGUAUCAUGUAUGGUAAUAAAAGAGGGCCCUGAUGAAUAGUAAAAAUAAAUCAACAUAAGCUAAUAAGAAAUUGAUCAAACUGCAAGUGUUGACUGCAUCUUGAAGAGAGUUUGAUUUCUGACAUAGAUUAAGUACAAAUCAGUUUUGACAAGAGUGGGUUGCUCUAGUGGUGAGCACCCUCCACUUCCAACCAAGAGGUUGUGAGUUCGAGCCACCCCAAGAGCAAGGUGGGGAGUUCUUGGAGGGAGGGAGCCGAGGGUUUAUCGGAAACAGCCUCUCUACCCCAGGGUAGGGGUAAGGUCUGCGUACACACCACCCUCCCAGACUCCACUAGUGGGAUUGCACGGGGUUGUUGUUGUUGUUGUUGUUGCAGUUCUUGAAUUUUCAUUAGAAGUCUAUGGGUUCAAAAGCUCUUUGAAGAUGUCCGGGGAUGGUGAACAACAACGUAAGAGACCACUCUCCCUAGAUUAUGUACUGAAACAAAUGAAUCUUGAAUAAUUUUAUGAGCUAAUCCAAAAAAUGCACCAUAACCUGGCCCAGAAAUCUUAAAAUCUUUACAAUUUUUUCCGAGGAAAAAUCCUAUCUUCAAAGCUAAUAUCAAUCAAACUCUCCUGAAUUCGUGGACUACUCUUACUAAAAUGCAGCUUCAAAUCUCCUGAUGCAGCUGAAGAAACAUCUUGUCACAGCUAGCUACGUUAAUGAUUCAAUGUUAAAGCUAGACGAAGACGCAAAAUGUGCUGG
rnacentral:lncRNA from 1 species